rnacentral:lncRNA from 1 species
ACGAAAGUGGGAGCACCUCUUGUCUGAAAGAGUCGUUCUCUGAUUGCACAUAGGUGUCAGAAAAGCUGCCGUUCACAGUAUUUUCCCUGGUGUUCACUUGCACCUCUGAAACUCCUGUCGUGGAUCUGGUUUUCAACUGUUAUUUAAUAGUUGAAGAAUUAGGAUUUGCACCUAUUUAGAGGGAAUGGAUACAGUACACCCUUCUCAAACCAUUUUUUUUUCCAAUUUAAUGCUUAAGUGGUCAUUGAUGGCUUUCGAUGAGAGUAAUAUGUCUUAUGAUUUCCAAACUGUAACUAACUCAAGUUAACGAGGAGAAUUUCACUUAAUGGCACCAAUUCUUGAUGGCUAAACUCGCUGGAGGUAAUCUGAAUGAAAAGACUGACUUUGUCGUUUCUCUUUCUGCACCCACAAAAGGGGGAAAAGAACUAACUGCUGAUAGUUAUUGCUUUCAUCUGUACCAUUUCCAGCUUGCAUUUACUGUCACGAAACACACUUGUGUUUAAUUCCACAUAUUUUAGUAAUUGUUGCAAACUGGAGAAGAGGUAUCAAGCACUUAUCUCUAGGAGAACUUAAGUAUGGUAUUUCAAAGCCAGGAAGAGGAAGAAGAGCGUUACCUCCUUGUCUUCCAGGGGAAAAGAAAGACCUUUGAAGGAGCCAUCUAGAACACAUGCCAGGAAGACUCCUUGAAAUUAUUACCAAAUUUCGAAUUCUCCAAAAAGAAUUUCAAAUAACAAAAACAAUGAUUGAGAACUCAACAAUUUCACACAAAAAAUAUUAAAGCCCCAGACCAGGCCCAGUGGGACCUUGAAUACAUACUGUAUUUCUUUAAUUCAUGAAUGUACCAUUGGAAUAUAUAUAAUCAACAAUGAUGGAACCUCAUACUGGCUUCUCACCUAUUAUACUAGAAAGGACUAAAUGGAAAGAAACUUCUGGAAUUCCUCUCAAUACCAAGAGUAAAUGAAAAGAAAUACCACAUCCCUGGGGGAACCAUAGUGACAAAUGUCAUAAGAAGCCACUUGAAAGAGGUGGAGAAACUGAUUCCUGUUGCUUCCUGACAUAACUCUCUACUAUACUUGGAGAAUUCUGGUAGAGUAUUAUAAGCUUAACAGGUGAUAACUUCCCUUAAAUCAGGUGUUCCAAAUGUGGUGUCUUUACUGAAGCAAAUGAACAUAGCCUUUACUGAUCUUGCAAAUCUUGUUUUCUCUAUCACAAUAAAUUUAGAACAUCAGUAGCAUUUAGCUUAUACUUGGCAUGGAUAGCAAUAUACUUUUACCACUUUGCCUCAGAGUUAUGUAAAUUCUCUGACCUCAAGCCAUGAUGUAAUCUCUAGGGAACUAGAUCAUCUCAUUAUCCCAAAAGAUAUCAGACUAGUCCAGGACAUCAAUGACACUAUGCUGAUAUGAUCAAGAGAAUAGAAGCAGUAGACACUCUAGAUGCUCUGGUAACACACAUGCAUGCUAGAGAAUGAGAGAUGUAUUCUUGAAAAUACAAGGAUAUAGUUGCUAUAGGGGUUUCUGAGGGUUCAUUGGUUUGGAACAUUUCACAAUAUAUGCUGCAGUUUGAAUCCUCUACCACUAACAAAGAAACAGCACCUGAUGGGUCUAUUU